rnacentral:piRNA from 1 species
UGUGGGCAAGGACACACGCACA